GCAAACUUGGUCAUUUAGAGGAAGUAAAAGUUGUAACAAGGUUUCCGUAGGUGAACCUGCGGAAGGAUCAUUAACGAGUCCAGUUGGGUUGUGUGGGUGGUGGGGAGAGAGAGAGAGGAUGGGAUGGGAUUGGAUGGGAUGGGGUUGCGCUAUGCUAACCCUAGCUUGUUUGAUUGAUUGCAUUCUCUCGCCUUUAGCCUAGCCUACACACGACAUUUGAUCGGUGGCAAUGUAAAUUGUUACUGAUAUUAAUAAUUAAAAUGGAAAUGACUAAAAGAUUGAUUGAUUGAUUGAUUGAAAAACUUUUAACAAUGGAUCUCUAGGCUCUUGCAUCGAUGAAGAACGCAGC
rnacentral:misc_RNA from 1 species